rnacentral:rRNA from 2 species
GACGAACCGUGCGAACGUUAUUCGGAAUCACUGGGCUUAAAGCGCGUGUAGGCGGGCCGCCACGUCGGCUGCUGAAAUCCCCCGGCUCAACCGGGGAACGGGCACCGAUACGAGCGGCCUCGAGGGGGGUAGGGGGGUCUGGAACUUCCGGUGGAGCGGUGAAAUGCGUUGAGAUCGGAAGGAACGCCCGUGGCGAAAGCGAGGCCCUGGACCCUUUCUGACGCUGAGACGCGAAAGCCAGGGGAGCGAACGGG